rnacentral:tRNA from 1 species
UCCCUGGUGGCUCAGAGGUUAAAGUGUCUGCCUCCAAUGCAGGAGACCCAGGUUCGAUCCCUGGGUCGGGAA